AUUUAUAUCUUUAUGAACCUCCUUUUAAUACACAGAUUAUGUAUCUGGGCUACAUCAUAUUGGACCAGAAAUACGGACAUGCCGUUGGAACAGUAUUUGUCAUGGACUGGGCUGUUUGGCUGGCUGUUGUUUUCUUUAUUUCCCACCAGGUGGCGCGCAAGCGGAACUGAGCAUCUGGAGACCUCAGCUGCAGCUCGUUUCCACCUGAUCAGGAGCUGCUGCAUUUAAAGCCUGGCGAUGCAGUUGUUCAUGGUCAGAGACUUGACAUUUGAUGAUAUUACAUGGCUGCUGAAGCUGACUUGUGUUUGAUGAUUAUGUUUCUGGUGAAGAGGAGAAUUUGCUGAGGAUGACUACUGUUCAGCCAUCAGACUGCACACUUCCUGAGAAACUCAGCUCCGUCGCGGCCACCUGGUGCCGGCUUCCCUCCUGGUCCAGUUCUCGCUGUGGCUUCUAGCUAUUCUACCGCCUGGAGCAGGCUGUGUCCUCCACUCUACAGACCGCUUGACUUGAUACUUUGUUUUGUUUAAUUGUGUGUAAUUAAAUAUCAGUUCUUCA